rnacentral:rRNA from 1 species
AUUGAACGCUGGCGGCAGGCCUAACACAUGCAAGUCGGACGGUAGCACAGAGGAGCUUGCUCCUCGGGUGACGAGUGGCGGACGGGUGAGUAAUGUCUGGGGAUCUGCCCGAUAGAGGGGGAUAACCACUGGAAACGGUGGCUAAUACCGCAUAACGUCGCAAGACCAAAGAGGGGGACCUUCGGGCCUCUCACUAUCGGAUGAACCCAGAUGGGAUUAGCUAGUAGGCGGGGUAACGGCCCACCUAGGCGACGAUCCCUAGCUGGUCUGAGAGGAUGACCAGCCACACUGGAACUGAGACACGGUCCAGACUCCUACGGGAGGCAGCAGUGGGGAAUAUCGCACAAUGGGCGCAAGCCUGAUGCAGCCAUGCCGCGUGUAUGAAGAAGGCCUUCGGGUUGUAAAGUACUUUCAGCGGGGAGGAAGGCGAUAAGGUUAAUAACCUUGUCGAUUGACGUUACCCGCAGAAGAAGCACCGGCUAACUCCGUGCCAGCAGCCGCCGCAG